GUAGACAUAGUUUAAUCAAAACAUUAGAUUGUGGGCCUAUAAAUAAGAAUUCAAUCCUCUUUGUCUACC
rfam:Loxodonta africana unplaced genomic scaffold scaffold_118, whole genome shotgun sequence.